UUGGACUUACGACGCAUCAUACGCCAAUGGACGGAACUACGGCAUAUCACUUCAUGAACUCAUGGGCUGAGAUGGCGCGUGGCAUUCCUAUUAGCGUUCCACCAAUCUUUGAUCGAACUAUACUAGAUGUUGGAGUCCCAACUUCUCCAUCAUUUCACCACAUCGAAUACGAUCCCCCUCCUUCCAUGAAUACUCCUACUCAAAAUCCUCAAGCCAUUUCCACUACAAUCCUGAAAUUAUCACCUGAUCAAAUGAACAUCCUUAAAGAAAAAUCUAAGGGAGAUCACGGAUCCACUGUCAAGUAUACUAGAUUUGAGAUUGUAACAGCACAUAUAUGGCGCUGCCCAUGUAAAGCACGAGGGUUGUCUGUUGAUCAAGCUACCAAGUUAGAGAUUCCCACAUCUGGGCGAUUUAAAUUGAAUCCUAAAAUUCCACUUGGGUAUUGUGGCAAUGUAAACUUCAGGGCCACACCAAUGGCCUUGUCAGGUGAUAUUCAAUCGGAAUCAUUAAAUUGUACAACAGAGAGAAUUCAUGAAGCAAUUAAAUUGAGGGAUGACAAGUAUAUGAAUGGGGUCGGCCGGUGUUUACGAUGCCUUUGUUCGGCAUGGACGGAGAUGUUUUCAUUUUACCGGGUCCAACCAAUGAUGGGAGCUGGUUGGUGGUUGUAGACAUGGAAACUAACCACUUGCAGCACUUCAACAAGUAUUUUUAUGAUAUCUUUCCGUAAUCCCACGAUGUAAUAUCUUUGGGUGUUGUGUUGAUACUAACCAUCUUAUUAUUUGCUGGUAUGUUUGUAAUAACGAACACCCUUUUGUCCUUUCGAAAUGAUUAAUGAACUGCUUGAAUGCAUUGAAUAUAGAGAGCUGCUAAAACUGAGAAUUGGAGAAUUGAUGAUCAUACAAAAGCUUAUCUCAGGCAUCAUUCACGACUUUGGACUGGACAGCCAAGAAAAUUCUGUUAGCUUAUAGGAUAAUAGCGUCAAGGCCCCUAAGUUUCUGCCUCUUAUUAACCAAAUUACAUUUUCUUCUAUUUCUCAAAUAUGCCCAUAAUCCCGGCAAAAAUAUAACUGAAAUAACUUUUGUAUCGUUAUGAUCUAAUACAACUAUGAUAAAAAAAUCUAUUUUCGAUAAAAACGUACAAAUUAUAAGUAACUUUGUUCUUCAUUCAACAAAACAAGAAAACUUGAAAACACAAACUCAGUCAAAUUUUUCAGUAACAGUUUUAUCUCUCGCCAAAGCAGAGUGUUAAGACAUUAAAGGCAAUCUCAUUGAAACAUAUAAAACCAUGCGCAAUAAUAAUUUUUUAACUUAAAACUUUAUGAAUUAUGAUUGGUGAUUGCAAUGCGGACUUACUGAACAACACAGGUCAAAACUCAAUUAAAAAAUAAUAAUACAUCAAUUUCAAGCCCAACGUCGUCAUCUGAAACACUACAAAGAAAAUUCUAAUCAAACACCAAUAGAUGAACCAUCACUUGGUUAGUAUCAGAACCUUAUUCUUAGCACAGAUGUUUAAUAUUAGAUAAUUAUUAGCUCAUUAAAGCUGUACUCGGAUAAAAAUGGCAGUAAAAAGACACUGAUAAUAUUGUCUUCAAAACAGGCAAGAGCAACAUCUUGACUGUCAACUUACAAGACACCAAACAAACUAGGAAACUGCAUCACUUCAAAACUCUAACAUGACGGUUAAACUGUUUGCUCAGCUUGUAAGAUUUAAAUCACAUUUACAUUUACAGGAAUCCUCCCUUGGGCAUCACAUCAAAACUCUAACAUGACGGUUAAACUGUUCGCUCAGCUUGUAAGAUUUAAAUCACAUUUACAGUAUGAUGCCCAAGGGAGGAUUCCUGUUUCACUAUAUGGCCUGAGUACAGUCUUCUCACAAUAUGUUCCAAUGAAAAAUUAAAGUUAUAUUGAACCAACCUAUUUCUGGAAUGAUAUUGAGUAGGUGCCAGUGUUCGGAUCUUUAACAGCUUUGAAGUUGUUGGUGCUCAUCCCAAAACGGCCCAGGAUAGAGUUACCCAUUUCUUUUAGCUUUCCUGCUCAAAGGAAACAAUUUCACAUUUUGGUUAAUGAAUAACUGAUGAAGCAUGCACACAAAAGCAUAAGAAAUGUCGGAUGAAAAUUGUAGCCUAGAUGUUUGUCAAGACGAAGAAUUAGGUAAUCUAAUUAUAUAUAACCAUUAUUCUAAUACAAAUCCUUUUCUGACAACACAACUCCCCCACCCUCUGUGUGUACCGAUGAUAACCCUUCAAAUAAAAUGACUUCACUGUAUGACUAGUAGGAAAUGGCUCUGCACAUACCAAAGCAUGAGCACAGGCAUAGAAUCCUUGUUUGUCAAAGGUGUGUCAUACCCAAAAAAUUAUAUAAAAAAGAGAAAAAAGAAGACAUCAAACAGGACCAAACAACCAUUGAGGAUCAUAUAAAAUAUCUCUUUUCAGUAGUGUGGUCGGUAUUAAACUUCAAACUUUGAAAUACUUCCUCCACACUCAAAUUGAAUUUUCUACACCCUCCGAAAACUUCUGUUUAAUCCUCACAUUUAAUUGAAAGAUGUUGGGGGUAAAGCAGAUUCUAUAAACAAGUAACAACUAUCACUUCCCAUGCAUGUUAUGUUCCAAAACCAAUUAAUUCUUUCGAUCAUCAAACACCUAGUCCUUACAGACUAUCUCAAGGAAGCAUGCUCAAAAUCUCAUUCACAACAAUAACUUCACUUAGUCCAACCUACAAUUUUAAUUAAUUAAUCUUCUCUUUCCAUUAUCUGUUCCAACUUCUAGCUGCAUGUAAGAAUUCAUCUACUUCUUACUCGGAGGUAUUAACGGACCAUCAUAAAAAGCAGUUUGCAAAGACAUGAAAUUGCAUAUGGCUAUGAGUUCUCAACAAUGUAACAACAAAUAUACUAUAAAGGCACUAAUAAUAAGGGUGAACUGGUUAAAAAGUAAUGAAAAAACGAAGUCUAGAUGCCUCAUUCAUUUGCUCCAAUUGAUGAAGAUGGAGAAUGGUGUGCCUCAGAAACAGUCUUAAAUUUUUGUUUCAACGUCUUCCAACAACCAACUCUGCAGGCAGAGAUGUAUCUCCGUGAUGCAGGAUGCACAUGUAUUUGGGUGGAAACAAGUGGACUUGCUAAUGAGAAGCAAGAGAGUUCCAUCAGCGUACACUCAAUUUGGGUUAAAGGUCUUGAUGGAACCUUAUUUCACCAAGAGAUCUUCAGUCCUUAUAUGAUUGUAAAUUCCUAUUUCUGUAUCGACAGCUUUCUUUACUGCCAUUUAUAUCAUUCUUUGAUACGCACUAAUGUUUCACAGUUUCUUAAUGAGAAGAAAAUGAAAUCGCAGAAGAAAAUCAUUGCCAAGCUUACCAAUCAUCUCUUCCUUCAUCUUUUCAAGUUUUUCCUCUGCCAGUGGCUGCAAACGAAGAAUGGUUCUCUUGGCUUGAUUAUUUGAAGGAUCAAAUUCCAAGAUUUUCUUCAUCUGUGAUAGAAAAAAUGAAGAAAAGUUCAAAGAAAAUGACAUUUGAAAUUAGAAGUAGUUAUGAAGGUGCCACAAAUCAGCCUGUGAAAUGUAAAGAACUUCAUGGAAGGUCGACAAAAAAAUACAAGACUCAGGGUUCAAAACCAAACUACAUAAUCCAACAUAGAAUGAACAAGAAACUAAAACGUAUUUGUUAUGUGAAUGACAACAAUCAUCAAAUCCUGAAUACCAGCAAUAGCCUCUUCAAAGUGUUCAAGCUUUUCAUGUGCCUCUGCUCUUCUGAUCAGAGCUUUCAUAUAUGUAGGAUUAAGCUCCAAUGCCUUUGUGCAUUCUUUGAUAGACUCCUCGAAUUUUCCCUAAUGUAAAUUAUCAUCAAUCUGGAGUUAGAAAGACUAUAGGAAUCUUGGAUGCAAAACAAACAGCAUGAACCGCAGAUUCCACAGGAUAAACAAAAGUUGGCAGAUUUUAAAAUAUGAAGUACUUCUCCAUAAAUUUCUAUCUUCAUUUACCAUCUGAACUUGAACAUCAUCAUGUCUAUUUGAUAACAAUACAACAAAUCAGAAGGAGAAAGGAUCAGAUCCACUCAAAGUAAACUCCAAAGGUAAUAGUAAAAUGAACUACUAUAGAGAAUAAGGUUUUCGGAAUCUAAUAAAAAAAAUGCAUUAUAAACAAUGCUAAACAAACCGGGAUGAAAUCAGAACAUAAACAAACAGACUGACUGACAGAACUCAAAAACAUCAAAUGCCUCAUGCUUUACUAAUUUCUUCUUUAGUAACAACGCUGUCACAUUUAGCAAUUCACAUUUUCUAAAUCCUUUAAUACUUUAGGAUGCACAAACAAAACAAAGUGUUGUUAUUGAAUGAAAUGUGGAUAAAAGAGUAACAUACAAGCUUCAAAAAGCAUAUUCCACGAUUUGAAUGGCAUAUGGAACGCAGCUCUGCCAUUUCCGGCGCCGUCGCCACUUCCUUCUUCCCCGAUGCCGACUGCCCUUCCUUAGCCUCCGGCGCCGAAGCCAAUUCCGCUCUCUCCGGCACCGAUGCCACUCGCAAAGCUACCUCAUACUGUAACAACGCCUCCUCAUAUUUACCUUCACCAAACAACUUAUUCCCUUCGAGUUUCGCCUCAUUCGCUUCAUUUAACUAAAAGAACAAAAAGCAGAAUAUAUAUUGUAAACAGGACAGCUAAAAUAUUGAAGUAUUUUCACACAUUUUCAUUAACUGUAAUGCAUCAUUUGUAACUAAUAAAGAGAAAAUAAAGGGAACUAUAUAUGAGAGUAUCAAGGAGAAUAAUGGAAGAGAUUGUUGUUAGUAACUUGUGGAGAGUAUCAUGGAGCUUGAGAUUAUCUGAUAUGCCCCCGCAAGAGGGUGUUGCCAUUGGCGACACCCAUCUUGAACCUUAAUUCAGAAAAUGGUUGCUUGGAGAGGGGUUUGGUUAGGCUAUUAGCAAGUUGAUCUGCUGCAGAUAUAUAAGAUACGCGCAAUAGCCCUUUGUUGACCCAAUCGCGAACAAAAUGAUAAGCAAGAUCAAUGUGUUUUACCCUUGAAUGAAAGACUGGAUUGCAACACAAAUAGGUAGUUUCAAUAUUAUCACAAUAAAUGGUAGGAGUUUGACUCAAUUGAAGGCCAAGUUCUUGAAGUAGAUUCUGAACCCAUCNNNNNNNNNNNNNNNNNNNNNNNNNNNNNNNNNNNNNNNNNNNNNNNNNNNNNNNNNNNNNNNNNNNNNNNNNNNNNNNNNNNNNNNNNNNNNNNNNNNNNNNNNNNNNNNNNNNNNNNNNNNNNNNNNNNNNNNNNNNNNNNNNNNNNNNNNNNNNNNNNNNNNNNNNNNNNNNNNNNNNNNNNNNNNNNNNNNNNNNNNNNNNNNNNNNNNNNNNNNNNNNNNNNNNNNNNNNNNNNNNNNNNNNNNNNNNNNNNNNNNNNNNNNNNNNNNNNNNNNNNNNNNNNNNNNNNNNNNNNNNNNNNNNNNNNNNNNNNNNNNNNNNNNNNNNNNNNNNNNNNNNNNNNNNNNNNNNNNNNNNNNNNNNNNNUGGCUUAGCUCCACACAUAUUAGUUUUGGAGAGAAGAUCACAUAUAUACUUAUGUUGUGACAAAAACAGACCAGUAGUUGUUGGAAUGACUUCUAUACCCAAAAAGUAGUGUAGAUGGCCAAGGUCCUUAAUUGAGAAUUUCUUUGCUAACAAGUGAACAAAUUUAGAUAGAAAAUUACCAUUGUUGCCAGUGAGGAUAAGAUCAUCAACAUAGACCAAAAAGAAUGCAGUGAUGCCCCCGUGAUUGUAAAUAAAUAAAGAAGCAUCGGAGAUAGCAUUGUGAAAGCCAAUUUGAUGCAAGAAGGAAUAUAGUUCUUGGUACCAGGCACGGGGUGCUUGUUUUAACCCAUAUAAUGCUUUUCGUAACUUGCAAACAUGAUUGGGAAAAUGAUGAUUAGUGAACCCAGGGGGUUGAGACAUGUAAACUGCUUCUGAAAGUGUGCCAUGGAGAAAAGCAUUGUUGACAUCUAGUUGUUGGAGCGGCCAACCAUUAGCAAGAGCAAGACAAAGGAUGAAACGCACGGUUGUAGGCUUGACAACGGGACUGAAAGUUUCGGAGUAGUCAACAUCGACUCGUUGAUGAAAACCUUUGGCGACUAAGCGAGCUUUAUAGCGCUCUAUAGUGCCAUUUGGAUGUCGUUUGAUGCGAAAAAACCAUUUGCAGCCAAUGAUGUUUUGCGAUUGUAAAUAAGGAACUAGUUCCCAUGUCUGAUUUUGGAUUAAAGCUUUAUAUUCACAUAUCAUUGUAGCCUUCCAGUUGGGAUCUUGUAAAGCAUGUGCAACUGAUGUUGGUUCGAAAGUAUUAAGUAGGGGAUGUUUGGUGGUAACGAGAGUGAGUUUAUGUUUAGGCUUGAAGAUAUUAUUUUUCGCUCGAGUUAUCAUAUGGUGGUUUGGCCUAGUUUGCGAUGUUGAAUUGGUUGAGUUGGAAUCUUGAUCUGGUGAGUUUGAGGAUAAAGGUGAUGUAGGCAUGGUGGGCAAAGGAUCUGUCUCGAUGGAUGAAGGACUAGUCGCUGGAGAAUCAGUUAUGGCAUCAACCUGCAAGGAAGUAUUUUGAGUGGCACCAUUAUCUGCAUCAAACGUGUUAGAAGAAGAUACAAGUGGAGAAAAAUUGGCUGCCAUAGAUGGAGUCUAAUUAGAAUAAGAAGAAGUGGAAACACGAGUUUGAGAUAAAUCUAAACCAUGACAAGGAAAAGUAGAUUCAUAAAAAAUAACAUGACGUGAUAUAUACGUACGAUUAGAAACAUGAUCAAAACAUUUAUAGGCACUUUGUGAAGUGCAAUAUCCUAAAAAGAUACAAGCUUUAGACCUAGGUUCCAGUUUGAGUGGAAUAUGGAUGUAGCCAAGGGAAACACUGACAUCCAAAAAUUUUGAGUUUAUUGUAAUUAGGUUCACCACCAAAAAGUGUUUCAUAGGGACUUUUUAACUUAAGAAUAUUAGUGGGUAAGCGAUUAAUCAAAUAUACAGCUGUAUGAAAAGCAUAAGUCCAAAAACGUAUAGAAAGAGAUGCUUGAUGUAGUAAGGUAAGACCUGUUUCUACAAUGUGACGAUGACGUCGUUCACUAGUACCAUUAUGCUCAGGGGUAUAUGGAGUUGAUGUGAGAUGUGAAAUGUCACAUUUACUGAAAAAUGGUUUCAAUUUUAUAAAUUCUCCACCACCAUCUGAGAAAACAGAAACAAUGGAAGUCUUAAAAAAAAUUUCAACUAAGAUUUUAAAAUUGAUAAAGAUAUCGUACACAUCAGAUUUUUGUUUCAUUGGGUAAAACCAAAUAUAUUUUGUAAAAUGAUCCACGAAUAUAACGUAAAAUCGAAAAUUAUCAUGGGAAGUAAUAGGCGCAGGACCCCAAACAUCUGUGUAAAUAAGCUCUAAAAGUUUGGAGCUUGAAAGAGAAUUUUCAACAAAAGGGAGUCUAUGGCUUUUAUAACUAGCACAUGAAUUACAAAAGGAAUCAGAUUUAUUUCGUGUUACCGUCAAAGAAUUUUUAUUAAGAAUAUAUUGUAGAAUCUGAAAUGAAGGAUGGCCUAGUUGUUGAUGCCAAGUAGAAGUUGAAGUUGAUCUUGACGCAAAUACUAAAGGACUUUUGAUUGAAGAAGACAACAAAGGCCACUCGUACACUCCUUCCUUAUUCAGGCCGCGCAUGAGAACUGUUCCCGUUAGCUGAUCCUUCACAAGAAAACACGAGUCAAAAAAUUCAAUUGAGACUUUAUUGGUUUUACAAAGUUCGGAUACAGAGAUCAAUUUUUUUCGGAUACUGGGAACACAUAGUACAUUUGAUAAAGUAAUGGGUUUUGAGGUAGAGGAGAAUGUAAGCGAACCAAUAUGAGAGAUGGGCAAACCUGAGCCAUUGCCUAUUAUUACUUCAUCAGAACCUGUGUAAAGAGCAUGCUGAGAUAAAUUGUUAACGUCAGUAGUGACGUUGUGUGAAGCUGCAGAAUCAAGAAGCCAGGUUGGGUUCGGAUUCAGAGACGGACUGCUGUAGUUGCAUAUUGGGACACCUGGAUAAGGUAUCUGUGUAUUUGUUGAUGUUGCUGUAAAGUUGGCUAUAGGGUUGGAAGUUUGAGCUUGCAAUCUUGCAUAAUAAUUAUAUCNNNNNNNNNNNNNNNNNNNNNNNNNNNNNNNNNNNNNNNNNNNNNNNNNNNNNNNNNNNNNNNNNNNNNNNNNNNNNNNNNNNNNNNNNNNNNNCUAAAGGUUUGGAGCUUGAAAGAGAAUUUUCAGCAAAAGGGAGUCUAUGGCUUUUAUAACAAGCACAUGAAUUACAAAAGGAAUCAGAUUUAUUUCGUGUUACCGUCAAAGAAUUUUUAUUAAGAAUAUAUUGUAGAAUCUGAAAUGAAGGAUGGCCUAGUCGUUGAUGCCAAGUAGAAGUAGAAGUUGAUCUUGAUGCAAAUACUAAAGGACUUUUGAUUGAAGAAGACAAUGAAGGCCACUCGUACACUCCUUCCUUAUUCAGGCUGCGCUUGAGAACUGUUCCCGUUAGCUGAUCCUUUACAAGAAAACACGAGUCAAAAAAUUCAAUUGAGACUUUAUUGGUUUUACAAAGUUCGGAUACAGAGAUCAAUUUUUUUCGGAUACUGGGAACACAUAGUACAUUUGAUAAAGUAAUGGGUUUUGAGGUAGAGGAGAAUGUAAGCGAACCAAUAUGAGAGAUGGGCAAACCUGAGCCAUUGCCUAUUAUUACUUCAUCAGAACCUGUGUAAAGAGCAUGCUGAGAUAAAUUGUUAACGUCAGUAGUGACGUUGUGUGAAGCUACAGAAUCAAGAAGCCAGGUUUGGUUCGGAUUCAGAGACGGACUGCUGUAGUUGCAUAUUGGGACACCUGGAUAAGGUAUCUGUGUAUUUGUUGAUGUUGCUGUAAAGUUGGCUAUAGGGUUGGAAGUUUGAGCUUGCAAUCUUGCAUAAUAAUUAUAUCCAUCAGAACAUUUCUUAGCACUGUGUCCUUUUUGGUGACAAAUUUGACAAGUGCCUUGGUAACCUUUCCUGCGAUUUGGUUGUUGAUUCCAAUUGUUUGAUGGGUAAGGAUUAGGACCUGAGUAUCUUUGGUUAUUUUGGAAGGUUUGAGGUGGAUUUAAACUGGGUGGUCUUGAUGGAAAAAAUGGUUGAAGAGGUGCUCAAGGAUUUUGAGAAUAGUGUGAGAAAUUAUUAUAAUUUCUUUGUGUAGCAUGGGCUGAUAUGACGGGGUUGUAUGGUGUUUCUUCUGUUCGCGAGGAUUGCAAGGAUACUUCGACAUCAACGAGUUUGUCACGCAGGGUAGGGAAAGUAAUUGGUGUGCCUCUAGCUCGAAUAGCUGCAGCAAUUUCUUUGAAUUCAGGUUUGAUCUUUGUGUAGCAUGGGCUGAUAUGACGGGGUUGUAUGGUGUUUCUUCUGUUCGCGAGGAUUGCAAGGAUACUUCGACAUCAACGAGUUUGUCACGCAGGUCAAGGAAAGUAAUUGGUGUGUCUCUAGCUUGAAUAGCUGCAACAAUUUCUUUGAAUUCAGGUUUAAGUCCAUUAAGAAUCAUAACAGUGAGGUCAAUUUCGGAGACCGGAGUAUCAACCAAUGCAAGCUCAUUAGCCAUCGUUUUCAUACUCUGUAAAUACUCAGCUACAGGCCUGUUUUCUUGCUUCAUUCGUGACAUACGGCCUUUGAGAUUAACUACAUGGGUUCUGUUGUGGCUUUGAAAUGUUGAUGUGAGUGUAGUAAGGGCACCGAUGGAGUUUGCAGCUGAAGCAAUAAGAGAAGCAAUUUCUGGUUCUACUGAUGCAAUUAUUGCAUUUAGAAUAAAUUGAUCUUGGUGCUGCUAUAUGGUGUAAGCAAGAUUAAUGGUUGCUUUUCCAUCAUCACCGGUUAUUAUUGGAAGGGGACACUUUAUUGCACCUGUAACAAAACCAUGAAGAUCAUAUCCUAUUAGGACAAUGUUUAAUUGUGCUCUCCAGGUCAUAAAGUUGUAUUGAUUCAACUUGAGAGAAAGUUGUGAGGAUGUAUUUAUAACAAUCAGGUUGCCUGCAGAAUUGAACGCGCCAUCAGAAGAAAAAAAGGCAGCAGACACAGGAGAGGAAGAGGUGAUUAAGGUUGAGCUAGAAGCCAUGUUAUAGGUUUACUCGUAGGAGAAAUUAAUUGCUCUGAUACCAUAAAAGAACAAAAAGCAGAAUAUAUAUUGUAAACAGGACAGCUAAAAUAUUGGAGUAUUUUCACACAUUUCCAUUAACUGUAAUGCAUGUAUUUAUAUACAUCAUUUGUAACUAAUAAAGAGAAAAUAAAGGAAACUAUAUAUGAGAGUAUCAAGGAGAAUAAUGGAAGAGAUUGUUGUUCGUAACUUGUGGAGAGUAUCAUGGAGCUUGAGAUUAUCUGAUAUUAACGCUUUCUACAUAAAAUCAAUCAUUAAUUCAUCAAUCAUUUGCUUCACUAGCUGAAUUUACCAAAACUAGUAAAACUGAAAUGAUAAUAACAAAAUGCGGAAAUGAAAAACUUGGCUCAAUUCGUUGUCGUUUAGAGCAACAGGCUGUUCUCCUCCCCCUCGUUGUCGUCGCUGACGUCGCGUUCGUCGGAUUUGGCUCAUUCAGAUCUCUGAAUGCUGGUUUUAUUUUAUUUUUCUUCUGUUAAUGCAAAUGCAGAUUUGAGUUCAUCGGAUUUGGCUUCGUCCGGUUGGGGGCAUAAUGGCGCUAAUGGCAUAGAAGUAGUAGCUUUUUGUCAUUACUUUCUUCUUCUAAAGUUUUUUUUUCGUUACUUUUUUAUUAUUUUAAUAUUUUAUUUGCAUUAUUUUAAUUUUUAAAAUAAAAAGAGAGAUAGAAGUAGGGAUGGCAAUGGGGAGGGGAGGGGAGGGGACCAAUCUCCCCAUACCCAUCCCCGAUAUUUUACAUAUGUCCCCGUCCCCUCCCCGUCCCCAUCAGAAUUGCUUGAGAGAAUCCCCAUCCCCUCCCCGAAUAAUAACAGGGGAUCCCCGAGGGUCCCCGGUCCCCGAAUAACUAAUAGUCUAAUACAUUUUUUUUAUUUUCGAUUUUAAAUUAAUCAUAUUAAAAUAAACUCAUACCGCUAUUGUAAGCUCGUAACCAACUUUGACAGCACAUUAAGGCCUCCAAUGUGCUUGGAUGAAGUCUGUUAUGGUAUGGGCUCACAACUCUACCACUAGUGUUAAAAGCUGAUUCAGAAGCAACUGUUGUAAUUGGAAUUGCCAAAAUAUCUCUAGCAAUUCGAGCUAAUGUAGGAUACCUAUUAGCAUUUGUCUUCCACCAACUCAAAAUAUUAAAAUCUUCCAUCCGAGAUAUAACUUUCUCAUCCAAAUAUGAAUCUAAUUCAUCUGCAACAACUGCACAAUCUCCAUUGUUUACAUAAUCAUUAAAACCUGUCAUCCAUUUGGUUGCUUUCUUAUAAGAAUCCCCUGUAGAUCUAGUAGAAGAACUACUACCAGUAUAAUCAAAGCAAUAAACAGUUGGUGAAAACUUCAAUUAAUACUCUUCAACUAAUUCCCGGCAAAGGGUGACCACUUUCCCAACAUACAACUAUUUUGAUAUUUAUUAUUUUUAACAAUAUUUAUAAUUUUGUUAUUUAUUUAUUAGUAAUUUUAAAAAUAAAAAUAAAAUUAAAAAUUAAAAUGGGGAAAUGGGUAGGGCUGCUGUACCGUACAUCCGCCUUGGCCGUACAGCAGAUUUAUUGAGAAAAAAAAAGAAGUAAGACCCACAGAAAUGGCAACAGGCGCUGCCGUUUCUGUUGUCCCUUUGUUCGUUUAGCCCCAUUAGUGCUGCUACUUAGACAAUACCACAAUAAAGGGAAGACACGACAGCAUUUCCUAUCCUCCCUCUCUUCUAUUAAGGGCCCAUAAUAAGUUUAAAAAAAUAAUAUAUAAUAGUGCACAUGUGUGAAUAAAGUGAAAACUUUUUUUUUGGCUAUUGGAUAAGAGUUUUAACAUGAUUAUUAAAGUGGAAGGCCAUAACUUUAUAUGCAUCUCUUUUAGUUGUUUAUCACACAACUGAUAUCUGUAUUUCCAGCUCUAUAUUUGCUCGAUUUCAAUAACAUAAAAAAGGGUCAUAAGGAAGAAGAGAGAGAAGUUAGAUCUUGAUUUAUUCAAUAGUGGGAAAAAAAAGUGAAACAAAAUCAAUGGCAAUAGAUCUGCAAACAAAGGCAGCUUGAUAAAAUUGUUGAUAAUUGAUUGAUAAGUUGGUCUCUCUCAUACAUUCAAAUAAAGUUUUUGUUGUGUUCUGUAUAUUUAAAUGGUUAGAAAAAUUUUAAUUUAAAUUGUAAAAAUUCAUAGAUUUGUGCUUUUUAUAUAUUUAAAUUGUUAUGGAUUUUUUUUUUUACUUUCAAUUGUUAGGAAGUGGAAGGCCAUAACUUCAUAUGCAUCUCUUUUAGUUGUUUAUCACACAACUAAUAUCUGCAUUUCCAGCUCUGCUUUUGCUUGAUUUCAAUAACAUAAAAAAAAGCAGCCAUAAGGAAGAAGAGAGAGAAGUUAGAUCCGGAUUUUUUCAAUAACAGAAAAAAAAAAGUAAAACAAAACCAAUGGUAAUAGAUCUGCAAACAGAGGCAACUUCAUAAAAUUGUUGUUAAUUGAUUGGUAAGUUGGUCUCUCUCAUACAUUCAAAUAAAGUUUUUGUUGUGUUCUGUAUAUUUAAAUUGUUAGAAUGUUUUUAAUUUAAAUUGUAAAAAUUCGUAGAUUUGUGCUUUUUAUAUAUUUAAAUUGUUAUGAUUUUUUUUUUUUACUUUCAAUUGUUAGGAAGUGGAAGGCCAUAACUUCAUAUGCAUCUCUUUUAGUUGUUUAUCACACAACUAAUAUCUGCAUUUCCAGCUCUGCUUUUGCUUGAUUUCAAUAACAUAAAAAAAAGCAGCCAUAAGGAAGAAGAGAGAGAAGUUAGAUCCGGAUUUUUUCAAUAACAGAAAAAAAAAAGUAAAACAAAACCAAUGGUAAUAGAUCUGCAAACAGAGGCAACUUCAUAAAAUUGUUGUUAAUUGAUUGGUAAGUUGGUCUCUCUCAUACAUUCAAAUAAAGUUUUUGUUGUGUUCUGUAUAUUUAAAUUGUUAGAAUGUUUUUAAUUUAAAUUGUAAAAAUUCGUAGAUUUGUGCUUUUUAUAUAUUUAAAUUGUUAUGAUUUUUUUUUUUACUUUGAAUUGAUAAGAAGUAAUGGAUUAAAUUUAUAGCAAUUUUCUGGAUGUGUUUUAUAUAUGUUAGGAUUUUUUUAAUUUAAAUUACUGGAAAUAAUAGAAUAAAUUAUAACAAUUUAUGGAUGUGUUUUAUAUAUUUAAAUUGUUAGGAUUUUUUAAUUUAAAUUGUUGGAGAUAAUGGAAUAAAUUAUAAAAAUUUGUGGAUGUGUUUUAUAUUUAAAUUGUUAGGAUUUUUUGUUACUGGACAAGAAUAUUGUAAAAGUUUCUAAUUACUUAUUCUUAAUACAAAUGUUAAUUAUUUUGUAGAAAUUGAGAAUUUGGAAAAUGAGCAUGCAUUUGAAGAGUUGCAAGAAACAUGAGUCAACAAUGUAGAUGAAAUUGUGCAACCGAAAAAAUAUGAGCCAACUCUUGGAAUAUUAUUUAAUAGUCAUGAAGAAAUGUUUGCAUUUUACAAAGUUUAUGGUAAAACAAAAAGAGUUUCAUGUAAAGGUUUGAACUCCUAAGAAAAGGGACUGAUAGAAUUGUAAAGUAUGCGACAUUUGCAUGUGGCCGCAGCGGAAAAUCAGAAUGGAAAUCUACUAAUGUAUUGAAGCAGAAACUUGAUGUGAAAAAUGGUUGUGAUGCAUAAAUUGGAGGUUGUCUAAAUGAAGAUGGAAAAUGGGUUCUUCGAACUUUAAAUCUUCAAUACAACCAUGAAUUGAGUGUAGACAAAUUUAGGUAUUAAACAAAAUCAAACAAAUUAACGAACAAAAAUAGUUCCUCUAUGGAAGGAAAGUGAGAGGGAGAGAGUAUGUACGAGUGAGAGGUGACGACAAAAGAAAUUUGCAAAAAAAAGUCUACAAAAUUCGUAGAUUUAUUAGCUCUGUGCUGCAUCAACGACAAAUAAAAAUCUGCAAGGUUAGUUGGCGUGGUCACAGUAGAGAAGAGAUAAGGUUGGUUAGCCGGUUCUGUGAUGAUAGAGAAGAGAUGAAAAAUCACAAAAUUUAUUUUGUGAAAGACAAUUAGAGAUAAGGUAAAGAAAAGAUAAGGUUUGCUCUGAUAUCAUUUUUGGACUUCUCUUUUUUUUUUAUAUAUUUACUUUUUUAAAGUAAAUGUAGGCCCACAAAAAGGAAAUGAUAAAUGAAUGAAAUGAUAGCAAGUGGCUUCAAACAAAAUUCAAGCUACAAGUACAAGUCUAACUCAUAAUAAAAAAUUAUCUCAAGGAUUGAGAGUCAUCGUAAGUUCAUGUCAUUAGUCCAAUAAUUACUCUCAACACGAUAAUCUUCUCAACUCUAUUUGUCAAAGACCACAAAAUUGUUGACAAUUAAACCAAAUCAACCUCAAGUCCUCAUCAUCAGUUUCAAUCUAACUCUAAGGGAUCAAGAUUCUCUCCUGAUCUGAUCUCCUCCUGAUUAAAAAUAUAUGUGGUGAUUGAUAGUUAAUGAAUAAAAAAAAUAAAGAAAUUAAAUCAUAUUUAUACACUAUUACUUAAAGACACAUGACAUAAGAUCUUUAAAAACCCAUGAGAGCUUAGAUCAGGAGAGGGUCAUUGUCCAACUCUAAGACUAAGACAAAGGCUAAAGAGACUCGUGGCUGUUGCAUCAACUCUACCCCAUUCGAGAUCAAUACUUUGAUGAAAAAAUUGUAGCAGAGCUACCAAACUUGAGUAAUACAAAUUCAAAUAUGUUAGAUGACAGGGCAGCAUACUUAGCAUUUAUUAGUGUUCCGAAAGUUUAAAGUGGUCAGCCUUAUCUCUUAUCUUAUGAUUAAUUCAAGUUUUUUACUUUUACAUUUAUCAAGAUCAAGAUAAAGAUAACUAUUGUGAUGGCUUAUCGUGUUUCUUGUAAAGCACUAUAAAUGUAAUGAUUAUGUGGAGAAUUAAAUAUAACAAAAAAAAAGGUGCUUUAUUUCUUUUCCAAAAGGUGCUUUAUUUCUUUUCCAAGCCCAUCUUUAUAAUUCUAGUGUACAUAUUGAUCCGGUACCUAAAUUAUUCAAUAGCCAUAUUUGCAUUGAGCGUGAAUGUGACUUUGAAAUUUUAGAAAACCAAACAACUUGGAUAAGGUAGUUGAUUCCGUGUGUGGAAUAAAAGAAACUUAUCUCAAAACACUGACUUUAAACGCAAGCUCAUCGGUAUACAUAUGUCCGAAAUGAACUCAUUUUUCUUUUACCACAAGAAUUCUGAAGUCUUAGAGCCCCCAACCCCAAGGUAUAUGGGUACUUUCUUUUCUUGUUAAUUAAGGCAUGAUUUGAUUUGCUAGCUUUGUGUUGUGCACAGUAUCAGAGAUAACUAUAUCUAUUAUCCUGUAUAUUCUUAUUUUUUGUGGCCAUCGGAUGCAUGCAGGUGGUGACACAAUGGAAACAAUUCACGUAAAAGAGUCAACAAUAAUACGGCCUGCUCAAGAAACCCCCAGACAUUGCCUACGGUUGAGUGAUUUAGACCUGCUGAUGCCGGCAAGUCACAUCCCCAGUGUGUAUUUCUACCGAGGGCCAAAUUACCCUUGCAAUUUCUUUGAAGGUGGUUUACUGAAGGAGGCUUUGAGUAAAGUUCUUGUCCCGUUUUACCCCUUGGCCGGAAGAUUGGGUAAAGAUGAAAAUGGCAGAAUUGAAAUAAAAUGCAAAGGAGAGGGAGUUUUAUUUAUUGAAGCUGAAACGAGUUAUGUCACUGAUGAUUUUGGUGACUUUGAAUCAAGCUCGAAGCUCGUGCAACUUGUUCCACCUGUUGAUCGCACGAAAGAUGCAUGUUUUCAUCCACUUAUUAUGGCACAGGUAGAAGAAUAAGAAUAAAAAGAGAGCUCGUGUAUUUCCUCAUUUUAUUAAAAAUGAAAUUAGGAGCUAUUCCAUCAAAAGAAUUAUUCAUAAUACUCACUCAAACUUAGUCACUUUAUUUCUUUAUAGGUAACUCAUUUUAAGUGUGGAGGAGUUUCUCUUGGACUUAUGAUGCAUCAUCUGCCAAUGGACGGAACUACGGCAUAUCACUUCAUGAACUCAUGGGCUGAGAUGUCGCGUGGCAUUCCUAUUAGCGUUCCACCAAUCUUUGAUCGAACUAUACUAGAUGUUGGAGUCCCAACUUCUCCAUCAUUUCACCACAUCGAACACGAUCCCCCUCCUUUCAUGAAUAGUCCUACUCAAAAUCCUCAAGCCAUUUCCACUGCAAUCCUGAAAUUAUCACCUGAUCAAAUGAACAUCCUUAAAGAAAAAUCUAAGGGAGAUCACGGAUCCACCGUCAAGUAUACUAGAUUUGAGAUUGUAGCAGCACAUAUAUGGCGCUGCGCAUGUAAAGCACGAGGGUUGUCUAUUGAUCAAGCUACCAAGUUAGAGAUUCCCACAUCUGGGCGAUUUAAAUUGAAUCCUAAAAUUCCACUUGGGUAUUGUGGCAAUGUAAACUUCAGCGCCACACCAAUGGCCUUGUCAGGUGAUAUUCAAUCGGAAUCGUUAAAUUGUACAACAGAGAGAAUUCAUGAAGCAAUUAAAUUGAGGGAUGACAAGUAUAUGAAGUCAGGGCUUGCCUACCUAAAGCAACAACCUGAUUUAACAGUUAUCAGGCGAGACCCCAAAAUUAUUAAUUGUCCAAACCUGCUGAUAACCAAAGUAGCAGACAUGCCUAUGUACGAGGUAGAUUUUGGAUGGGGUCGGCCGGUGUUUACGACGCCUUGGGCCGCCGUGGACGGAGAGAUUUUCAUUUUACCUGGUCCAACCAAUGAUGGGAGCUGGUUGGUGGUUGUAGACAUGGAAACUAACCACUUGCAGCACUUCAACAAGUAUUUUUAUGAUAUCUUUCCGUAAUCCCACGAUGUAAUAAUGUCUUUGGGUGGAUACUUACGAUUGGGUCCGCCUUCGUUACACUUAAUGUAACUUACGGUGAGUCUGUGAAGUUUCAUCUAAUCUCCUAUGUUCUAUGUAAUUUAUAUUUUAUUCAUGAAUAUUAUAAACUUUUUGAAAUGUCAAAUUUCGUUUAACCCCUUAUACUCAAUUUUAUUUUAUUGAAAUCUUAGAGUAUGAAUUCGCCUCUAUAAUUUUAAACUCUCAAAAUAAUUUUUAUUUAAUUAAAAAAUAUAAUUAUUGUUAAAUGAAUUAUAAUUAUAAUUAUUAUUUUAUUAUAAUCAUAAACUGCUGUACUAUAAUCAUAAAUAUUUUUUAAAUAAAUUAUUAUUAUUAUUAAUAAUAAGAAUAAAAGAUAUUAUAAUUAAUUAAUCUAUUAACAAUAAUUAAUAAUAUUUUUUAACCCGUAAACACCGGCCGACCCCAUGCAAAAUCUACCUCGUACAUAGGCAUGUCUGCUACUUUGGUUAUCAGCAGGUUUGGACAAUUGACCCUCUUAUUAUUUGCUGAUAUGUUUCUAAUAAUGAACCCCCUUUUGUCCUUUUGAAAUGAUUAAUGAAGUGCUUGAGUGCAUUGAAGUUAUUUUAAAAGUACACAUAAAGAUUUGACAUUUACUUAUUUUUUAAAAAUAAAAAAGCAGGUAAAAUUUAAAUUAAUUUUUUAUUUCUUAUUUUUUAAUUCAGAUUGUCAAUUGAAUCCAUUUGUUAAAAAAUUAUUUAAUUAUCUCUUUAUGUUCGAACGAUGAUGACUUUAAAUAAUAAUUCUUACAAAUCACUCAAUUAAGUCCACCGGGCCAAUUAAAUAUUAUUUGUUUAUAUUAAUUUUAAUUCAAUUGAAAUUCCAUAGUAAUUUAACCUAAAGUUUAACACUCACAAAUAAUUUAUAGUUCAUUGUAAUUCCACAAAAUUAUUAGUUCUUGUAAUUUAAAUUAUUUUAAGGAAUUGAAUCAUAAUAUUUUGAAUUUAAUUCAAUCUUUCACGUGACUUUGUUGAAUAAAACUGACGGAUGUGUUUUAUAUAUUUAAAUUGUUAGGAUUUUUUUAAUUUAAAUUGUUAGAAAGUAAUGGAUUAAAUUUAUAGCAAUUUCUGGAUGUGUUUUAUGUAUGUUAGGAUUUUUCUAAUUUAAAUUGUUGGAGAUAAUGGAAUAAAUUAUAAAAAUUUGUGGGUGUGUUUUAUAUAUUUAAAUUGUUAUGUUAAUGGACAAAAUGUUAUAAAAGUUUCUAAUUACUUAUUCUUAAUACAAAUGUUAAUUAUUUUGUAGAAAUGGAGAAUUUGGAAAAUGAGCAUGCAUUUGAAGAGUUGCAAGAAACAAGAGCCAACAAUGUAGAUAAAAUUAUGCAACCGAAAAAAUAUGACCCAACUCUUGGGAUAUUAUUUAAUAGUCAUGAAAAAAUGUUUGCAUUUUACAAAGUCUAUGAUAAAUAAGAAGGGUUCCUGUAAAGGUUCGAACUACUAAGAAAGUGACUGAUGAAAUUGUAAAAUAUGCGACAUUUGCAUGUGGUCGUAGCGACAAGUUAGAAAGGAAAUCUGUUAAUGCAUUGAAGCCGAAACCUAAUGUGAAAAAUGGUUGUGAUGCAAAAAUUGGAGGUUGUCUAAAUGAAGAAGGAAAAUGGGUCCUUCGAACUUUAAAUCUUCAACACAACCAUGGAUUGAGUCCAGACAAAGCUAGGUAUUACACAAAAUCAAACAAAUUAACGAACUAAAAUAGUUCCUCUAUGGAAGGAAAGUGAGAGGGAGAGAGUAUAUACAAAUGAGAGGUGACGGCAAAAGAAAUUUGCAAAAGAAAGUCUGCAAAAUUUGUAGAUCUAUUGGCUUUGUGCUGCAUCGACGGCAAAGGAAAAUCUACAAGGUUGGUUGGCAUGGUCACGGUAGAGAAGAGAUAAGGUUGGUUAGCCGGUUCUGUGAUGGUAGAGAAGAGAUAAAAAAAUCGUAAAAUUGAUUUUGUGAAAGACAAUUAGAGAUAAAGUAGAGACGGUUGAGAAGAAAUAAGGUUUGAUCUGAUAUCCUUUUCAGACUUCUCUUUUAUUUUUUUAUUAAUAUUUAUUUUUUUUUUAAAGUAACUAUGGGCCCAUGAAGAGAAAAUGAUAAGUGAACGAAACGCAACGAGUGGCUUUAUUUCUUUUUCGAGCCCGUUUUAUAAUUAAAGUGUACAUAUUGAUUAGGUGGCUAAAUUAUUCAAUAACCAUAUUUAAAUGUAGCGCAGCGUGAAUGUUACUUUGAAAUUUUAGAAAAUCAAACAACUUGGAUAAGGUAAUUGAUUCCGCGUGUGGAAUAAAAAAAACUUAUCUCAAAAUAUUGGCUUUAAACGCAAGUUCAUCGGUAUACAUAUGUCCGAAAUGAACUCAUUUUUCAUUUACCAUAAGAAUUCUGAAGUCUUAGAGCUCCCAACCCCCAGGUAUAUGGGUACUUUCUUUUCUUGCUAAUUAAGGCAUAAUUUGAUUUGUGUUGUGCAUAGUAUCAGAGUUAACUAUAUCUAUUAUCCUGUAUAUUCUUAUUUUUCGUGGCCAUCGGAUGCAUGCAGGUGGUGACACAAUGGAAACAAUUCACGUAAAAGAGUCAACAAUAAUACGGCCUGCUCAAGAAACCCCCAGACAUUGCCUACGGUUGAGUGAUUUAGACCUGCUGAUGCCGGCAAGUCACAUCCCCAGUGUGUAUUUCUACCGAAUUACUUAUUCUUAAUACAAAUGUUAAUUAUUUUGUAGAAAUGGAGAAUUUGGAAAAUGAGCAUGCAUUUGAAGAGUUGCAAGAAACAAGAGCCAACAAUGUAGAUAAAAUUAUGCAACCGAAAAAAUAUGACCCAACUCUUGGGAUAUUAUUUAAUAGUCAUGAAAAAAUGUUUGCAUUUUACAAAGUCUAUGAUAAAUAAGAAGGGUUCCUGUAAAGGUUCGAACUACUAAGAAAGUGACUGAUGAAAUUGUAAAAUAUGCGACAUUUGCAUGUGGUCGUAGCGACAAGUUAGAAAGGAAAUCUGUUAAUGCAUUGAAGCCGAAACCUAAUGUGAAAAAUGGUUGUGAUGCAAAAAUUGGAGGUUGUCUAAAUGAAGAAGGAAAAUGGGUCCUUCGAACUUUAAAUCUUCAACACAACCAUGGAUUGAGUCCAGACAAAGCUAGGUAUUACACAAAAUCAAACAAAUUAACGAACUAAAAUAGUUCCUCUAUGGAAGGAAAGUGAGAGGGAGAGAGUAUAUACAAAUGAGAGGUGACGGCAAAAGAAAUUUGCAAAAGAAAGUCUGCAAAAUUUGUAGAUCUAUUGGCUUUGUGCUGCAUCGACGGCAAAGGAAAAUCUACAAGGUUGGUUGGCAUGGUCACGGUAGAGAAGAGAUAAGGUUGGUUAGCCGGUUCUGUGAUGGUAGAGAAGAGAUAAAAAAAUCGUAAAAUUGAUUUUGUGAAAGACAAUUAGAGAUAAAGUAGAGACGGUUGAGAAGAAAUAAGGUUUGAUCUGAUAUCCUUUUCAGACUUCUCUUUUAUUUUUUUAUUAAUAUUUAUUUUUUUUUUAAAGUAACUAUGGGCCCAUGAAGAGAAAAUGAUAAGUGAACGAAACGCAACGAGUGGCUUUAUUUCUUUUUCGAGCCCGUUUUAUAAUUAAAGUGUACAUAUUGAUUAGGUGGCUAAAUUAUUCAAUAACCAUAUUUAAAUGUAGCGCAGCGUGAAUGUUACUUUGAAAUUUUAGAAAAUCAAACAACUUGGAUAAGGUAAUUGAUUCCGCGUGUGGAAUAAAAAAAACUUAUCUCAAAAUAUUGGCUUUAAACGCAAGUUCAUCGGUAUACAUAUGUCCGAAAUGAACUCAUUUUUCAUUUACCAUAAGAAUUCUGAAGUCUUAGAGCUCCCAACCCCCAGGUAUAUGGGUACUUUCUUUUCUUGCUAAUUAAGGCAUAAUUUGAUUUGUGUUGUGCAUAGUAUCAGAGUUAACUAUAUCUAUUAUCCUGUAUAUUCUUAUUUUUCGUGGCCAUCGGAUGCAUGCAGGUGGUGACACAAUGGAAACAAUUCACGUAAAAGAGUCAACAAUAAUACGGCCUGCUCAAGAAACCCCCAGACAUUGCCUACGGUUGAGUGAUUUAGACCUGCUGAUGCCGGCAAGUCACAUCCCCAGUGUGUAUUUCUACCGACGGCCAAAUUACCCUUCCAAUUUGUUUGAAGGUGGUUUACUGAAGGAGGCUUUGAGUAAAGUUCUUGUCCCGUUUCACCCAUUGGCCGGAAGAUUGGGUAAAGAUGAAAAUGGCAGAAUUGAAAUAAAAUGUAACGGAAAGGGAGUUUUAUUUAUUGAAGCUGAAACGAGUUGUGUCACUGAUGAUUUUGGUGACUUUGAAUCAUGCUUGAAGCUCGUGCAACUUGUUCCACCUGUUGAUCGCACGAAAGAUGCAUAUUUUCAUCCACUUAUUAUGGCACAGGUAGAAGAAUAAGAAUAAAAAGAGAGCUCGUGUGUUUCCUCAUUUUAUUAAAAUGAAAUUGAGAGCUACUCCAUCAAAAGAAUUAUUCAUAAUACUCACUCAAACUUAGUCACUUUAUUUCUUUAUAGGUAACUCAUUUUAAGUGUGGAGGAGUUUCUCUUGGACUUAUGAUGCAUCAUCUGCCAAUGGACGGAACUACGGCAUAUCACUUCAUGAACUCAUGGGCUGAGAUGUCGCGUGGCAUUCCUAUUAGCGUUCCACCAAUCUUUGAUCGAACUAUACUAGAUGUUGGAGUCCCAACUUCUCCAUCAUUUCACCACAUCGAACACGAUCCCCCUCCUUUCAUGAAUAGUCCUACUCAAAAUCCUCAAGCCAUUUCCACUGCAAUCCUGAAAUUAUCACCUGAUCAAAUGAACAUCCUUAAAGAAAAAUCUAAGGGAGAUCACGGAUCCACCGUCAAGUAUACUAGAUUUGAGAUUGUAGCAGCACAUAUAUGGCGCUGCGCAUGUAAAGCACGAGGGUUGUCUGUUGAUCAAGCUACCAAGUUAGA
rnacentral:lncRNA from 1 species